GAGUCUGGUUGCCCAGACCAAGCAGUAACCCUGUUCCAACUUUAUCAGAGAUAACCACACUUACCCCUCCCCUCAUAUCCUUUCAAACUCUAUUGCCUACUGUCCACACACACACACACACACACACAAACAGACAAUUACAUUAUGAAACAUUUUCAUAUUUUGGAGACAAGGUAGUACAGCUACACCGAUAUUGUAGUGUGUUGUUCAACGUCUUAGCUUUAUGUCAUCAUGUUUUUUUUUUAAUCUGCCUGAAGUUUUACAUAAAGUGAACCCUUCCUAAGAGAGAGCAAUGUGACGUCCUAUCCACAAAAUACAUUCUAAAAUCCGUUUUUUUUUUUAGUUUAUUUAAUGUUGUUCUACCCCACCGAAUUUGACUCUAACGAAGUUAAGUGCAGUAGUACAUGUCAUCACUCUUGGUAAAACGUAACGGCAACCGGUGGCUCAGCGAAGACUUCUACAACAUCCGGGCAUUCCACAGCCCUGCGCAGAAACGGAAUGGCGGAGGUCCGAUGGGCUCAGGAGAUCUCAGUCACUGUCUGUCAUACUUUUUGAGCUGGAGAAAUGAAGAACAAGUGUCUGCCACAACCACCAGGUCCCUAGCAAGGGUCUUGAGGAGGCCAGGGGUCCUGCACACAGGGGCUGUAGAGAUGGCGUCUCACCCCCACACAGGCCGUGAGAUGUCUCUGGAGGAGCUGCUAGCGCUCUAUGGCUAUGACAUGCCCAACCCACUCAUCCAGCAGGAACGAGAGUCCAGUGCACUCACAGCCAGUCUGCCAGACAUCACGCUGAACAAGAUGCACCCGCUGUACCUCUACGGCCCCAAGAUUAACACGAUGUGAAACUCGAUGUGAGACCACCACUCUCCAAGAAGAGGAAAAGAGAAAUUACUGACGAGCAUGCAGAGUUCAUUGCACUUGACAUGAGGCUGGUGUACACUGUUGAAGGCCAAGGUUUUUUAAAGAGUUAAUACGUGCACUUAAGCGGUCCAAAACCAUUCCCAAAAGAGAGAUGGUAAUGCAAAAGAAUGAGAGAAAGAAUGAGAUACCCAAAACUGUCGAGAGCCACAGCAAUCCAUCCACCGCCACGGCAGGUUUUAUUGUCAGCAAAGCAAGGAGCACACUUCUCCUGGGCAAUGUAAACAAGUUGUUUUUCCUCGCAUGCAAUUUUAAAAGAAUCAAGUGGACACGGGCACAGUAAAAGACCAUUCUGGAUGAAACACAUCAGUUCAAAGGCAGGAGGUCCACUCUGACAUGAGUAGAGGUUCCUUCACUGGGAGAAGAGAUCUUUCUUUACUCUGCAGUGAAAUUGCAGAUGAUGGCCCUCUGUCAUCGUAUCAAAAAGUCACUUUGAUCAGGUGUUGACCGAAGUAUUUGUUUGCUGCCAUCAUUAAUAGUAGCUUUUGACUGCUGGACAAGUAGCAUGGUAGUUCCACCAGUUUGGGCACAUUGCUCAAGAACUCAGCAGGGUCAUCGACAGCUGCUUUGACAGCACAAGAAGGGAAGGAAAUGGUUGAAUUUAUUUACGCUCUACACCAGUAAAAUAGUGAAAUU
ensembl:lncRNA